rnacentral:tRNA from 1 species
GCCGGAGUGGCGGAAUUGGCAGACGCACUGGACUUAAAAUCCAGAGGGUAGCGAUACCCGUGCCGGUUCGAGUCCGGCCUCCGGCACCA